AUUGAACGCUGGCGGCAUGCCUUACACAUGCAAGUCGAACGGUAACGCGGGGCAACCUGGCGACGAGUGGCGAACGGGUGAGUAAUGCAUCGGAACGUACCCAGUAGUGGGGGAUAGCCCGGCGAAAGCCGGAUUAAUACCGCAUACGACCUACGGGUGAAAGGGGGGGAUCGCAAGACCUCUCGCUAUUGGAGCGGCCGAUGUCAGAUUAGGUAGUUGGUGGGGUAAAAGCCUACCAAGCCUGUGAUCUGUAGCUGGUCUGAGAGGACGACCAGCCACACUGGGACUGAGACACGGCCCAGACUCCUACGGGAGGCAGCAGUGGGGAAUUUUGGACAAUGGGCGCAAGCCUGAUCCAGCAAUGCCGCGUGCGGGAAGAAGGCCUCGGUUGUAACCGAC
rnacentral:rRNA from 1 species